rnacentral:rRNA from 1 species
UGGGGAAUCUUGGACAAUGGGGGCAACCCUGAUCCAGCCAUGCCGCGUGAGUGAUGAAGGCCUUAGGGUCGUAAAGCUCUUUCGCCUGUGAAGAUAAUGACGGUAGCAGGUAAAGAAACCCCGGCUAACUCCGUGCCAGCAGCCGCGGUAAUACGGAGGGGGUUAGCGUUGUUCGGAAUUACUGGGCGUAAAGCGCACGUAGGCGGACCAGAAAGUUGGGGGUGAAAUCCCGGGGGCUCAACCCCGGAACUGCCUCCAAAACUAUUAGGUCUAGAGUUCGAGAGAGGUGAGUGGAAUUCCAAGUGUAGAGGUGAAAUUCGUAGAUAUUUGGAGGAACACCAGUGGCGAAGGCGGCUCACUGGCUCGAUACUGACGCUGAGGUGCGAAAGUGUGGGGAGCAAACAGGAUUAGAUACCCUGGUAGUCCACGCCGUAAAACGAU